rnacentral:rRNA from 1 species
AACGAACGCUGGCGGCAUGCCUAACACAUGCAAGUCGAACGAGACCUUUGGGUCUAGUGGCGCACGGGUGCGUAACGCGUGGGAAUCUGCCCUUGGGUUCGGAAUAACAGUUGGAAACGACUGCUAAUACCGGAUGAUGACGUAAGUCCAAAGAUUUAUCGCCCAAGGAUGAGCCCGCGUAGGAUUAGCUAGUUGGUGAGGUAAAGGCUCACCAAGGCGACGAUCCUUAGCUGGUCUGAGAGGAUGAUCAGCCACACUGGGACUGAGACACGGCCCAGACUCCUACGGGAGGCAGCAGUGGGGAAUAUUGGACAAUGGGCGAAAGCCUGAUCCAGCAAUGCCGCGUGAGUGAUGAAGGCCUUAGGGUUGUAAAGCUCUUUUACCCGGGAUGAUAAUGACAGUACCGGGAGAAUAAGCUCCGGCUAACUCCGUG